rnacentral:tRNA from 1 species
GGAGGCAUGGCAGAGCGGCUUAUCGCGCACCCCUGCUAAGGGUGUAGACCUUAAUAGGUCUCGUUGGUUCAAAUCCAACUGCCUCCG